CAAUUUUCUCUAAUGUUUUGUGACUGUACUAGGGUUAGAUCUCCAGGCUCCAACCUUUAAUCUCCAAAUUAUCUGUCUCCUUUCAUCUUUUCUAUGCAAUUUCAUGUUUUGUGGUGUUGGAUCUUGUGGUUUGUGAGUCUAAUUUGUAGGUUUAAGUGGAAGUUGCAGACAAGUUGCUACAUCAUCCGGCACCGUCUACCAGAGAAGUGCGGUUAUUUCUCAUCUCCUUCAUGCUUAGUAGGCAGUAAUCCCUCGUGCCCUACCACGCCAACGACCACUCCACCACCGACGAGGUCCUGCCCGAGAUCAACGCCAACAUUCACCUCAUGUACCUUGCCAACAAGGGCAAUCUCGAAGGCAUCAUCGACCUCUUGUACACCGGUGUCAAUGUCAAUUUCCUGGACAUCGAUGGUCGCACGGCGCUGCACGUCGCUGCUUGCCAGGGCCUCGCCAAUGUCGAGCUACUGUUGAAAAGUGGCUCCAAGGUUGACCUAGAGGAAUGCUAAGGAAACACACCUCUUGCAGAUGCAAUACACUAUAACAACAACAAGAUGUCAUCAAGAUUUGGAGAAAAUGGUGCCAGAAUUAAGUAUCAUGUGUUAUUUUCCACUUUCAACUUAGCUUUGUUAGUUUUAUUCAUGCUUGCGCUUUUCAUCUUGUUCAAAUUGCUCAAAUGCAUGUUAAGAAUGCCCGUGAAGUUCCUAAAUAUGAGACAGAUGCAAAAGAGCUUGAUUUAAGCAAUAGUGUUGGUAUAACUAAGCAUGUUCAAGUAUCUGAUGUUGACCUGUUGGGUUUCUCUCCAAGUAUGGCAUCUCUGACCGAGGUUUCACCCAAUUUCUCUAUGAUCGUUCAGGCAUAAGGCAUUGAUGGACCGCAAGGCUGAGUUGUUUUCUCGGUUCCUUGAUGUUUCAGUCGCCUCUUCAGGGUUUGCUUUCUAUCAUCUCUUUCAUCAUUGUCCUAUUUGGAAUCUCUGUAGUGCAACUAAUCUUUUGUGGUCUUGCUUAUUAAUUUUGCUUUCUUUUGAUGCAUGAAGACUAAUUUCAUGCUAGGGCAUAAUUCUUUGUUAUUUUCUUUCUUGAAUUAUAAAUUCCUUUGUUGUGUUGGUUGUGUCUGUAAUUUCAUGUUGUUCUUUUGAAUUAUCUGCAUAAAUGCAAUCCUCUUAUCAUUCAUCCAGAUCUGAAAUCAUUGAACCUGUUAGUAGAUAAAAAUUGGACUGUGAAGGUUGCUUUAUUAUAUUCGAAUUUAUCCGUUUAUAAAAUAACUUCAAUGAUUUUGUUGAUGUUC